rnacentral:tRNA from 9 species
UCCAGCGUAGCUCAAUGGUAGAGCUCCCGGCUGUUAACCGGGUUGUUGUAGGUUCGAGCCCUACCGCUGGAGCCA